UCGCCUGUUUAUCAAAAACAUGGUCUUUUGUUUAUAUAAAAGAUCUGGCCUGCCCAAUGUUGAUUUAAUGGCUGCAGUAUUUUGACUGUACAAAGGUAGCAUAAUCACUUGUCCUUUAAUUAGGGUCUGGAAUGAAUGGUUGGAUGAAAAAUUUUCUUUCUUUAUUUUAUAAGAUGAAAUUAAUUUUUAUAUUAAAAAGUAUAGAUAGAUAUAUAGGACGAGAAGACCCUAUAGAACUUUAUUCCCCUUAGUUAAUUAUUUACUUGUAAAUAAUUAUUAUUUAGCCUAAGGGGAAUUUUGUUGGGGUGACAAAAAAAAUUUUAUAACUUUUUUUAAUUUUUUCAUUUAUGUAUGGAUAUUUGACCCUUUAAUAUGGGAAAUAAGAUUAAGUUACCUUAGGGAUAACAGCGUUAUUACUUUAGAGAGUUCAUAUCGAUAAAGUAGUUUGCGACCUCGAUGUUGGAUUAAAAUAAGUUUCAGGGGCAGAAAAUUGAUUGACUAGGUCUGUUCGACCUUUAAAUUUUUACAUGAUCUGAGUUCAAACCGGAGA
rnacentral:rRNA from 1 species